GCCUGACGCGGGGCUUGAACUCACGGACCGCGAGAUCGUGACCUGGCUGAAGUCGGACGCUUAACCGACUGUGCCACCCAGGCGCCCCUAGAAUUUCACUUUUCUAUGGAAACAAUGAGGUGAUGUUAGGGCCCUGACUCACUGCACAGAAGCCCAUGGAAUUCUCAGUGUGACUGACCCAUAAUUUUGGUACUAAAGAACUUUAACUUUUAAAUAUUGUUUCUAUAGGGCAAAUUGUAGUUCAGUUUCCACCUGAGUACUUGGAUCAUGUCCCCACCUCUGUCCCAUCCCCUAUGCCUCACCUCCUCCAGGGCCUGGCAGUAUAGGCCAUAGUGAAGGGGCUGUCUGAGCUGGGAGAGGAGGGAGUUACAUGAUGGCUGGAAAUGGCACGUCUUUAUCCCCAUCUACUCUCCACAGAGUCUGUUUCAUAAACAGCCUGCAAGAAAAAGAAACAAGUCUUAAAGAAUAGCUGUUACCAAAAAAAGAAAAAAAAAAAGCUGUUACCAGGAAACAGUAUGGUGCUAAAAAAAAUUAAUGCCAAAAUGAGACAUGAAAAACAACUUUUAGAUUGGAAAGCAGUGUUUCAAUUCAUGUGUUUUUCUUGCAAAUCCUGUCCCUAUUACAUUCUCAACAUUCCAGUCUUUCUCCCUGGGGUUGCAUGAAAUCUCUCAAAGCAAAUGUUCUCUCUCUCUCUAUUUUUAAUGCGUUAAAUUGAUACUUGAAGAUGGAGUUUUGACCUGAGUAUUUUUGUGGAACCCUCCCAUGCACCUUAGGAAGUCAGACCGAGAAAAUCUUUAUAGUCAGGAAAAUACCCAGGGCACCGUCCGCAAUGACCACUAAUUACCAAACUUAGAAGCAAUCAAGUAGAGAAAAAGGGCAACUUUUCUUUAAAAGAGAAAGAAAAAUCUGAUCAUUGCAUUUUUCUUGGAUUACCUUAGCAGCGGAUAGGCUUAUUUGCCAACAUCAGUAAUAAUGAAAAGAAAGAUGUGGUGGGCCUAGAGAAUUUUUAACUUAUUUCUGAUGUUUAUAAAAUGUCAAAGACUACAGUACCAUUCUAAUCCAAUUUAUGCAUUUUCAGUGGGAUUUCAGAUUUUAGCCAUAAGGAAUACUUGAAUCUUCCUGAAGUAGAUUUCUUGUAGCUGCAAGUGUACAAAUAACAUCAUAUUUGAAUUGCUUGGAAUUCUGAAAACAAAUUUAAGAUUUUACUUGUAAAAUAUGUAAGUGAAAGAGCUCAUAUCCACUUAUUUAUUUAGCAUUCUUUAAGAAACACAUGGUGCUUACUAUAUGCUGGGCAUGGUUCUAAUACUUUAUAAAUAAAUUCUUUUGAUCCUUAAGAACAAUCCUGUGAGAUAGAUAACCAUUUUACAGACAGGGAAACUGAGGCACAGAAAAUGGUAAAACAACAUACUGAAUUGCUAGGAUGUACAUUGGAGCCAGUAAAAGUACCCACAUACUGAUUUAUUAUCUGUCCUGAAAAUAGUCUCCCUGAGUCCGUACUUGAACCUCUACUUGUAGCACCUCGUCUGGGAUACAAGCACCUGAGAGAUAGGGGUCCCCGGGCUCUGACAUUUGGGUUCCUGACUGAUAGCCAGAAUUUGUGUGGCAGCAAGUCUGUAACAAGUGAUCUUGUGAUCUUGUAAAUCACCGUCCUCAGAUCUACUGACCUGUAAGACAUCCCUUGCUGGUAGAAAAAGAUUUUCUUUGGAGAUUGAGUUUCCACCUUUUUCUUAAGGCAGAAUUAAGAUUUGUUUUUCUCAUUGGCGUAGCAGUUCAUUUUCCUGGAUCACAAAAUUAAAAAUAAUAGGGGCGCCUGGGUUGGCUCAGUCAGUGAGCGGCCGACCCUUGGUUUCGGCUCAGGUUAUAAUUUCACGGUUCAUAAGUUCGAGCCCCGCGUCAGCCUUCUGCUGACUGUGCGGAGCCUGCUUGGGAUUCUGUCUCCCUCUGUCUCUGCCCCUUCUGCACGUGCUCUGUCUGUCUCUCUCUCAAAUAAACUUUAAAAAUAAUAAAGUCUGUCUUCCUCAUUGAAUGUCUGCUGAUUCUGUCCAGCUUCACACUGGAAACUGCCCAUCUGUUACCUCAGCAAGGCACUCAGCCCCAGUCAGACAUGUCUACCGACCUGCUGUCUGUGAUAACGUCAAAGUCCAGAGGACCUCUGUCUUUCCUGCCUGCCUGGGAAGUCCUCCAGAGGUUUUCCUGAGAGGUUUCCUUUCUCAGGGCUGUACUUUUUGGGUCCCCAGUGGUUGACUGCUAGUCUCUAUGAUGUGCCUUCUCUUCUCAUCCAAGUAUAGUGGGAAGGGUUCAGCAUCUGGUUCUGCCAGCUUUUGCUUUGUGACCUUGAACUAGUGCUCUGAACCUCCGUUUUCUCAUCAAUUCUCAUCUGUAAGUGAGAAUAGUAAUACCCAUCUCACAGAGUUUUUCUGAGAAUAUUUGGCGAAAAGCACUUUGCAAGUGGUAGAUGAAAAGCAGUUAUAGAUACUAAUGACUAGAACCACAAAGUAAUAAUAAAUGCCUACUCUGCUUCGCAUUCUAGCGCUUGAGGAAACAAAACAGUAGAUGACACAUCCCAACUCACUAAGGUUUCCAGCUGAAGAGAAAAUAGACACGUUAAAGUGCUAGACCCAAGGGCAUGGAAUUCUGGCUUAGUGAGAUGCUGUGAAGAUUGUUAAAUUCAAAUAUAUUCUUUCAGGACCUGAGAGCAAAUAGAUUGCUGCCUGUUUGGCGAUCAUCAAAGAUUUCCCAGAAAGAGGGCACCAUCUUGUGGUCAGCGGGAUGAACUGACAGGAAAAAAAGUCCAAGAAUCACACAAGCUGCCUAUUCCGAGGCCUAGGUCCCACUCCUGGGGAGCCCAAUACGCUUGGUCAAGUGUGGGGCCUCGGGCCAGUACUUGUUAAUGCUCCCAUGGGUUCUCAUGUGCAGCCAGGGUUGAUCGCUGCCCAUCGGGCGCUUGCCCAUGACCGCAUGGCCAGUAACCACACAGAGUUGGGCCUAUAGCUGGGUCUUCUGACUCCCACACCUGGAGCACUUCCCAGGGAGCAAAGGCUGCUGCUCAGAGGUCCUGGAGCCCAGGUCACUGGCACAGACGGACAUCUCCAGGGCCUCCCUGCUGCCUCCUAGUGCCUGUUCUCUUCCUUCUUCCGCUUCUCAUCCUUUCUUAGACUUUCCUGCCUUUGGCCCCCAUUCCCACUAACAACAGAAUAGCUAACCCAGCAUGCUCCUACCCUGUCAUUUCAUCCAUAGCAGUCUGAGGGAGAUCCGAAUAUUCCUACUUUUUUAUGAGGAAAUGGAAGCCAGGGGUAACACAGCUGGGAAACAUGUCUUCUGGACCCAGAUCCUGUGCUCUGUGGCCUUCCCUGCUCCAGUAGUAAUAAAAUAAAAAUAACAGCCCCCAUUUAUUGAGUCAUUGUGGACCCUGAUGUCUGGGGUAGGAAAGAUGGGGGUGUAGGAGCAUGUACAAAGGGGCUGUUCCUCACUGUAACGUGUGCGAUGGCAAAGAACCGGAAUCACAGUGGUUGGCAAGACUUUGAAGUCCCAACUGGCACAAAACUCUGUAAAAGGAGGUAUGAUCACUACCAGUCUUUUUGUUUAAUGAGAAAAUGGAGCGUCAAAGAAUUUGCCUAAGUGGAGGCCACCUAAGGGAGUCUGUCAGUGGGGAAAUGGCUAAGGAGGGUGCCCUGAGCUUGCAGGGGGUCCUCUGCAACAGUGAGAAGCAAUGACCUGGAUUUAUGUAUGGUAUCAUGGGCAAGCCCAAACUGUCCUGCGGGAGCAUUAGAUUCAGUACCAUUAAUACGAGUUUGGAAACCCAUACAUAAAAUAACCCCCAAUAUUUUUCUAGGGCAUGCAAAAUCUAAAUGUAUUAAUGGCAGAUAGAUUGGAGGGAAAGAAUAUAUACUAGAAUGGAUGCUUCUGGAGGGAAGGGAAAUGACAUGGGGUGUGGCAGAUGAGAGGGAAAAACAAAAGGGUGGCCUUGCAUGGGCAAAUGAUGUCACUGUGUCAUAAACUGAGGAGUAUAAGCCACAUAAUUUGAUGCACCAGAGGUCCCUAGAAAGAAGACUGGAAGGUAUUUGGAAUGAGGGUUUGAAGGGAAGUCAGGGGUGAGAGUGUCCCUUCAGGGUUGAUUGCAGCUGCUGGGAAGGUCCAGCCAAGGUUGGGGGGUGGGGUGGGGGAUGGUUGCUGUGAGUGCUACAGGAGCCAGUGGGCAGGGUCACCAGAAUUCUCCAUCACUGGGCCUCCAGGGAGAUGCAGAGACAACAGACAUUUUGGGGAAUGGCAAUGACUUUGUAGAAAGUCUGUGCAAGGAUGGGAAACUGGGGUGCUGGUGAGAAACUGGGGAGGCAGGAAAGGCUGUGGUGUCCACACAGCAGAAGAGCUGGGUCGGGGGGGGGGGGGGGGGGACGAAGGAAGGAGGGGACUGACCUCCCUCUACUGCUGCCUUGUGCAAAGAGAAGGCUUGAAUAAGUAAGGAACUUGAUAAACUGUUUACUCUUUUUGUUAAUGUUUAUUUAUUUAUUUUGAGAGAGAGGAAGAGUGAGAGCAAGCAGGGGAGGGGCAGAGAGAGAGGAAAAGAGAAUCCCAAGCAGGCUCCAUACUGUCAGUGCAGAACCCAACACCUGAGAUCGUGACCUCAGCCAAAAUCCAGAGUCUGAUGCUUAACUGACUAAGCCACCCCGGUGCCUCUGGACCAUUGUUUACUCUUAAAAUUACUGCAGAUUCCAAAAAGCUUUUAUUUGUGUGUGUGUGUGUGUGGGGGGGGGGUAUUUAUUUAACCAUAUGAGAAAUUAAAAUUGAGAAAUUAAGUGUUAAUUCAUUUUAAAAAUAAUAAACUCAUUACAUACUACAUGAAUAGCAUUAUAAAAAUAGCUAUAUUUUUCAAAACAAAAACAAUUUAGUAAGUGGCGUUGCUUAAAAUUUUUGCAAACAUCUGGCUUAAUAGAAUAUAGUCAGAGUCUCAUAUCAGCUUAUGCACUCCAUCUGUUGUGAUGUGACGCAUCAUGUAGCUUCUGGAAAAUUCAACCGUAUACCUGUGAGGGAGUGACAAAGGUAGAGAAUGUCUUGGUGGUAUUAUGAAAAAUAGUUUCGAUCUCACACUCACUGAAAGAGUCUUUGGACUAUACUUUGACAAGGUUGAAUUUUAUUGCUAAAGGGAUAAAGGAUUCCUAUGAGCCCAGUGGGGCCCAGCAGUUGAGAGCUGGUCUAGGGAGCUGGACUGGGGAGAGGGCACUGGGCAUAGAGGUGGGGGGGGGGCAGGUGGGGCUAAGCCCUAUGGGGAUCUGAAUAAAGAGAAGAUGGCGGUCAUUCUACCUAAUGAAACCUCUCUCUCUCAAGCCAGCCCUAACUUCCUCAUUGCCAACUGCAGAGCCCUGGCUUUAGCCUUCAGUAUCUCCUGCUGCUCUGAAGCACUUAGUACUUCACCACCCCAGCCCCACCUUUACCGCUCUCUCUUCUCUAGCCGCCAUACACCAAUACUUGAUUCUCCUCCUGCCUUACCUCCUCCUUCUCUGAAUGCCCUUGGCUCUUUUUCCUUCUUCUCACCCCCUAAGUUCUUUCUUGAACCCAUUAAAAAUGGUCAUUAUAAAAAGACCCAAUAUUAUACAAAAUACUUUCACCCCUAUCAUUUUCUUCAUAAUUCUCUUCUUGAUUCCCACAGCUACAAAUACCACCCGAUGCCGGUAAUUCCCAAGUGUGUAUCCCCACCCCUGACUUCCCCCCAUCUCCCAGUCUGUACUGCCAACCGCCUAUUGGACCUCUCCUCCUGAAUGUUCUUUAAACUCAGUAUGUCUAAAAUGGUACUUCUUUCAACCCAGUCUUCCAAGCCCACAGUAUCUUCUUGCAAUGGUAUCAUCCCAGGCACUCAGGCAGCUGCAAUACUCCAUGAAUUGGCAAGGACCAGUGAUGUUGGAAAAAGAGAAGUGAUAGAUGUUAGAAUCAUGUCGAUACAUGCUUCACAAAUGGUUCAAAUAAGUGUUUGCACAGGACCAGACUUGGUAGGUCAUUAAUUCUUGGAAUGAAUAGCAAAUCCAAUAAUCCGAAGGUGGGAGCAGUUUGAGCAAACAUGAUCCUAAGCCCUCUGGGCCUGUCCUGAGUUCUACGGUAACUGAAUUAGGUUUGGAGUCUCCACGGGCCUCAUUAUUCGCCCUGUGACUGAGGAUAUUGGAGACUUACAGAAAGGUAGAGGCUGGCCUUCAGGAGUACAAUAGAUAGUUGAUAGUUCUCAUUCCUCUCAUUCCUUCUCUAACUCAUCAAAUUAAGGGCUUCUUAUGGUGAGGCACUCUGCCAGAUGCCAUGUGGGCUAUAAUGAUGUAAAUGCUUACAAAAUAGUGGUUAUUUUGCUAAGAGAAUCUAUACGUUGACUGAACUGUUUCCCUAAGGAAAUCGCUCCAAUUUCAAUCAAAAUAAAACCUAGAAUUAGGCAAGGAUAAGCCAUACUUGUUGAAUUUCCCCAAAUCUUAGCUGAGACAAAGACUUUCUUCAUGUUUUGGGGGACACAGAUAAUAAACUCAGAAAGUACUUGGGAUCCAGAUGAUUUGGCUUAUCACACUUAAUUUGAUUAUCUUCAGCUUGUACCUCCCCUUUGCUUCAGCUCUCCCUCCACAAUCCAGACUCCUCCUCUGUCCCCUACCAGAAAGGGAUACUCUAAUAGACAUAGCCACAAAGAUACCUCCAAGAACCGCACCCCCCCAAGGAAGACCAAAAAGAACCCCCUUCCCCAGCCGUGGCAGAUGUUAGCAGAGCUAAUGCAUCAUCCAGUUUGUCUUUCCUUCCAAGCUUACAAGAGGAUCACACCUCCUUUCCCCUAGACUGUUAGGCAAGUCCAUGUAACUAGUUCUAAGCAAUUGGUUGUGAGCAGAAAUGGUGUGCCCUGUUGCUUCCGAGGUGAAGCAUCAUCAGGUGGUUUGAAGUCUUCUAGAUUGCUCUUCUCUUGCCAUGGAAAACAUGGAACUAUAUUAAGACAGUUACACCCAAGACAGAAGUAGCCUGGAGCGCUGAGCCACCACAUGGAAACCCAUGGUGAAUGUUGCAUGAGCAAGGAAUAAAAUUACAUUCUGAUAAGCCAUGGAGAUUUUUGGUGGUGUUUAUUUAUUGCAGCAUAAAUGAGAUUAUUUUGACUGGGUAGCAGCCAUCCCCCAGGCUAGCUCUUUUCAUUUUGGUUAAUUGUCUGAGGACCUCACAGCUUCCUGAGAAUUCACACUAAGGAUGGCUUCUCUCUUCAGCUUUAUCUCCAGAUCCAUGUGCUGUGUCCCUGGGAGGAUGGGGGUAUGACAGCUUAUCUCUAUAUUCUCCCAAACCCCAGCAUUUGUACAUAAGCCAUGACUGUCCUUACCAGCCCUACCUCAUUCCUUAACUUUAAGUACUUUCCUACUUUGUUUUUGUGUUCACAGUCAUAGUGACAACAUUAAGUGGAUAGGUUUAAAUUUGUUCUGUAACUUGAAACCCAUGCUCGAGGGGCACCUGGGUGGCUCAGUCCGUUAAGUGUCCGACUUCGGCUCAGGUCAUGAUCACGAUCGCACAGCUCGUGAGUUCGAGUACGCUGGGCUCUGUGCUGACAGCUCAGAAUCUGGAGCCUGUUUCAGAUUCUGUGUCUCUGUCUCUCUCUGCCCCUCCCCCGCUCGCACUCUGUCUCUCUCUCUCAAAAAUACAAGUAAACAUUUAAAAACAUUUAAAAACUAAAACCAUCCUCGCUUGCACUCUAGUGACAAGGAAUGUUGCUUCAAGUUACUUAACGCUUGGAGUUCAGCCACCAGUUGCUUCAAACUUUAAGUAGCUGCAAGUUAUAAAAACCGUCUGCUCAAGUACAAAGUCAGCACCCAGACAAAACCAUCUUCAGAGAUGAAACCAACCAACCAAAGACAAAAGGAUACGGCCUAAAAUCAAAAAGUGCUGGAGCAUAUGCUUAUGCUGACUCCUAAGGAAUUCAGUGAUUUAUCGGAUGAAUCUUCACUCAUCCAGGGGCAUCGGAAUCCAGAGGCAACCUGACGGAAGGGCCAGGUGGGCAAGAAAGAGCACUGGUUAGGAGUCAGGAGUACAUUGGAGACCCUGUAUUGCGUCUAGCCACGCACAACCUUGGAGACGUGCUGGGUCACGUACCCACUCUGCUCCAUUCUUCGGCCUGACAUUUCAGGUCCAUCAGAAGGAUUUGCGAGGGGACCCCGAGGAAGCUGCCUCUUGAAUUCAGAGACCCAGAUGAUGACUGGAGCGGUCCACUGCAGCUCCCUGACCAUCAGCCUUCCUCUGCCACGCUCACUGCUGUCUGUCCGCGGCCUGCCUCCAGCCUGGCAGCACAGCCAUGAGCUUUCCAACGGUACAACGAAGCAUUGAUACGGUUUUCCGGACGAUCGGGAAAGGGUAAGUUAUUGUAUUGCCCCCAAACCCAGUGAGCCACACGACCACCUGUGAAGCCUCAUGCAGAUUAUUGGAGACCGUCUCAAGGCUCCUGAGUUUCAGUCUUCUGUGGAGGGGCCUGGAAAUCUGCAUUUUAAAUAAAUGCUCUCAGAGAAGCUGAUGAUUGAGACUGGGAAACAAGGACUUAAGACAUUUAACAUUUCUAGAGAAAUUUGUGGGCAAAUCAAAUACUCGAAGUUACAUCCCCGAGGGAUUUCAAUGUGUCUAUUAGUUCUACCACCUUUUUUUCUACAACCUAAGUAAGGUAACUUUGAGAGGUGCAUAGAACACAGUGAUUUUUUUUUUAACUGAAAUAAGAGAAAUGAAACAGAUUAGAUUUAAAAAGAAGUUAAA